GCUUCCAUAGUUCAAUGGAUAGAACAUUGGCCUCCGGAGCCGAAGAUUUGGGUUCGAGUCCCAAUGGAAGCACCA
rnacentral:tRNA from 1 species